AGAGCAUGGAGCUUAUAUGAAUCGCUGAAACUAAAACAAACCUUAUUAUGUAAUGAAUCAGGAAGUGCAGAAGACUCUUUUGCAAUCCCAAGUUUGGAAAAAAUCCGAUAGAAGUCCGGUUACUGCAGCUGAUUACGGUUUGUACCUCGUCGUUUGCAUACCCGCGAAUUCAACUUCAAGUUUCUGUUUUUGCUAAGUUCUUGUUUUCUCUAUAAAAUCAAUCAAGAAAAUGUCUUUUACCACUCCCAUUAACGGAUGGUUUCUUCAGGCUCACAAGCUGUGGUUAGUCUUGUAUUGGAGAGGGAGCUCCAACCUGAUAAACUGUCAUUAGUAGCUGAAGAGGUGAAAUAACACUUGAAAACCUAUAUUAAUCAGAGGUUUUAUAGCGUAAAUGUUACUCGGGUUUUAUAACGGGGAAAUCUUACAGGAAACUGGAGAUCUGCGGAAGAAUGGAAGUGAGGCGUUUCUAGAAGAUAUUGCAAAGCUUGUGAAAGAUACUCUAGCCUCUGAGGAAUCGUACACCAGCUCUCCUCUAUCCACAGAUGAUGUGUUAAAUGCUAUAGACUG
rnacentral:lncRNA from 1 species